rnacentral:rRNA from 1 species
AUUGAACGCUGGCGGCAUGCCUAACACAUGCAAGUCGAGCGCGAAAGGCCUUCGGGCUGAGUAGAGCGGCGGACGGGUGAGUAACGCGUAGGAAUCUACCUGGUAGUGGGGGACAACUUGGGGAAACUCAAGCUAAUACCGCAUACGCCCUAAGGGGGAAAGCGGGGGACCUUCGGGCCUCGCGCUAUCAGAUGAGCCUGCGUAGGAUUAGCUAGUUGGUGAGGUAAAGGCUCACCAAGGCGACGAUCCUUAGCUGGUCUGAGAGGAUGAUCAGCCACACUGGGACUGAGACACGGCCCAGACUCCUACGGGAGGCAGCAGUGGGGAAUAUUGCGCAAUGGGGGCAACCCUGACGCAGCCAUGCCGCGUGUGUGAAGAAGGCCUUCGGGUUGUAAAGCACUUUCAAUGGGGAAGAAAAGCGUAGCGUUAAUAGCGUUGCGCCGUGACGUUACCCAUAGAAGAAGCACCGGCUAACUCCGUG